rnacentral:rRNA from 1 species
UUUUAUGGAGAGUUUGAUCCUGGCUCAGGAUGAACGCUGGCGGCGUGCCUAAUACAUGCAAGUCGAGCGAACA